AUAAAAUUGAAAGGUCGUGGUGCUUUGUUGCAAUGCAAUAAAGUUAAACGGGAAACACUAAACGUGUGCUGCCCCCGCAACGGUAAGUAAAUGCACCCUAACCUCAAGGUAAAGGUGUCAGGAGUCUGAAUAAGCCACUGUGCGCGUCAAUUGCAUGGGAAGGCCAGAUUCUGAGAUUUACUAGCCCGGAUACCGGCCAAGACAGGUGGAAUUUU
rnacentral:ncRNA from 1 species